AAAUUGAAGAGUUUGAUCAUGGCUCAGAUUGAACGCUGGCGGCAGGCCUAACACAUGCAAGUCGAGCGGUAGCACAGGGGAGCUUGCUCCCUGGGUGACGAGCGGCGGACGGGUGAGUAAUGUCUGGGAAACUGCCUGAUGGAGGGGGAUAACUACUGGAAACGGUAGCUAAUACCGCAUAACGUCGCAAGACCAAAGAGGGGGACCUUCGGGCCUCUUGCCAUCAGAUGUGCCCAGAUGGGAUUAGCUAGUAGGUGGGGUAACGGCUCACCUAGGCGACGAUCCCUAGCUGGUCUGAGAGGAUGACCAGCCACACUGGAACUGAGACACGGUCCAGACUCCUACGGGAGGCAGCAGUGGGGAAUAUUGCACAAUGGGCGCAAGCCUGAUGCAGCCAUGCCGCGUGUAUGAAGAAGGCCUUCGGGUUGUAAAGUACUUUCAGCGAGGAGGAAGGCGGUGAGGUUAAUAACCUCAUCGAUUGACGUUACUCGCAGAAGAAGCACCGGCUAACUCCGUGCCAGCAGCCGCGGUAAUACGGAGGGUGCAAGCGUUAAUCGGAAUUACUGGGCGUAAAGCGCACGCAGGCGGUCUGUCAAGUCGGAUGUGAAAUCCCCGGGCUCAACCUGGGAACUGCAUUCGAAACUGGCAGGCUAGAGUCUUGUAGAGGGGGGUAGAAUUCCAGGUGUAGCGGUGAAAUGCGUAGAGAUCUGGAGGAAUACCGGUGGCGAAGGCGGCCCCCUGGACAAAGACUGACGCUCAGGUGCGAAAGCGUGGGGAGCAAACAGGAUUAGAUACCCUGGUAGUCCACGCCGUAAACGAUGUCGACUUGGAGGUUGUUCCCUUGAGGAGUGGCUUCCGGAGCUAACGCGUUAAGUCGACCGCCUGGGGAGUACGGCCGCAAGGUUAAAACUCAAAUGAAUUGACGGGGGCCCGCACAAGCGGUGGAGCAUGUGGUUUAAUUCGAUGCAACGCGAAGAACCUUACCUACUCUUGACAUCCAGAGAACUUAGCAGAGAUGCUUGGGUGCCUUCGGGAACUCUGAGACAGGUGCUGCAUGGCUGUCGUCAGCUCGUGUUGUGAAAUGUUGGGUUAAGUCCCGCAACGAGCGCAACCCUUAUCCUUUGUUGCCAGCGGUUAGGCCGGGAACUCAAAGGAGACUGCCAGUGAUAAACUGGAGGAAGGUGGGGAUGACGUCAAGUCAUCAUGGCCCUUACGAGUAGGGCUACACACGUGCUACAAUGGCGCAUACAAAGAGAAGCGACCUCGCGAGAGCAAGCGGACCUCAUAAAGUGCGUCGUAGUCCGGAUUGGAGUCUGCAACUCGACUCCAUGAAGUCGGAAUCGCUAGUAAUCGUAGAUCAGAAUGCUACGGUGAAUACGUUCCCGGGCCUUGUACACACCGCCCGUCACACCAUGGGAGUGGGUUGCAAAAGAAGUAGGUAGCUUAACCUUCGGGAGGGCGCUUACCACUUUGUGAUUCAUGACUGGGGUGAAGUCGUAACAAGGUAACCGUAGGGGAACCUGCGGUUGGAUCACCUCCUUA
rnacentral:rRNA from 1 species